rnacentral:lncRNA from 1 species
AAAAAAAUGAAGUUUUCCUCACCCUUAUAAAAGUAGGCUGAGAGUACUAUACAAGGAGAAGGUAAGUGCAGAACUAGGUCUUCCUUCUCCUGUCUUCUACAUAGUAGUGAAGUUCCAGAGAUCCCCUGGAUUGUUGUAAUGUGAGCUUCAUUCCUCCAAGAGAUCCAGAUGGGCUGUCUUGUUCACUUUGUUAUGAGCCUGAAAGGAAUGGUUGGCGAAGCAGUCUGAAGUCUACAGCAUCUCCCAGGCUGAUACUGGACUCAUUACAGUUCAUGAAAUGCUCACAGAUUAUGAAUACAGAGACAGUUGUUGAAGAUGAUCAAAAGCACAGAACAGUUUCUAGAUAAAGGGAGUGUGAAGAGAGAAACCACAGAUAUCACAGUUGAGAGUAGAACAGAGAAGCUAAUGGCAGAAGAUCAGACCUGAGGGCAGUUUGGAAACAACAGUGCUCUUCCCAGAGAACUGGAAGUUUUGAGGCCAGUAAGAAAAAAAGAAAUGUCAGGACAGGAAGGAGUUCAGAGAAUUGCAAUAAUUUUGUGAAAGAUUAAUCCAGGGACAUUUCAAAUGUGGGGAAUAACCAUGAAAUUCCUGAGAGUAGUAAAAUGCUAACGUUCACAACAAACUUAUGUUUAAAGAGUGUAUAAGUGGCACCAUAAUUUCUGCACAUGGAAAAAUACUGAUAAGCUAUUUAAGGUACCUAAGAUUUCAGAAAUUAUCACAAAGAUAGGUAGCAUGUAAGGACAAUAAAAUUCACUUAUUUCUUUAUGAAGUAAAACCC